CUUCGCCUGGAUGACAGACCAGCAUCCCAGAGCAGACGAACAUCGCUCGGCGAAGUCAAUGAAUAGAAAAACGAAAAACUCGCACUUGAUAAAGAGUUCACUUGUCGACAUCAAGCAUUCGUUUAAGAUGGCGGCGGAGGUGAAGAAAGGAAGCCUGUGAAGGAGGGGCUCCGGCCCUUCGAACUCCAUCUUGCGAAAGAAGAAGCAGAAGAAGGAUAAGCCGUCCUCCUCGCGAGCGGAAAAAAGGUUAGCGGGUCGAUGCGAGCGAGGCGAGAGCGAGCGACGCGUGCCGUGCUAUCAGGCGGGCUGGGUAUGCAGUCGACGUCCGUCCCCUGAAAGCUUUCCCCGAGACAUCUGUCAGGCCCUGCACGGAGGCCGCCAUGAGCUACACUCCUUUCUCCAGGAGAGCCAACGCCUUUCCAUAAAAAUGAAUGUGCACUACAGCAUUCCCAGUACAUGUCCUUAGGAUAGCACUUUCUCUUCAAUUUCAAAUAUUGAAUUGAUAGUCAAUUAUUAGCAGAUUCGAUGUUAUUACUAUUAUUGUCAUAUAAUCAUCGUCAUAAUGUUGCUUAUAAUACUUAACCAUCACCUGUUAUCAUUAUAAAUGUCAUUAUAAUUAUAAUGGUCACUGU